UAGUUCUAGCAAUGCAUAAUUCUUAUAAAAAACCUGGCCUAGGCAUAACGCAUGGUACCAGUCUCCACAUUCACUACACGCAAGCCAUUUACACCCUUUUCCCUAACCUUCUUACAUAUCUUACAGUCGGAGACAAACAUCAUUUUGUGAUACUUCAGUGAGCCACAAGUGAAAACAAAUAUGACCAACAAGCCUCCUUCACUCGCUGUUGUUAGUCACUGCCAAUGAGGCGAUGUUACAGUUCCAUCAUGCAUCAGGGAAGGCAAGGCAAGGCAAGGCAAGGAUGCUUUUUAUCACCAAACCUUUUUAGGCUUGUAUACAGAUGAGUUAGCAGCUGGAAUGAAAAGAGUGACUGCGGAAAAUUAUGUUAUGUUUUUUUUUUUUUUUUUUUUUAUGCAGAUGAUGUGGUCAUGAGUGAAUCGGCAGAUGAGCUUCAAAGUUUGUUUGAUGUUGUAGAUAGGUAUGGAAGGUACUUUGGUGUGAGAUUUAGCAGCGAGAAAAGCAAGGUCAUGAAUGUGAAUAUAUCAGAGGAUGAGAGAAAUUCAGAGUGGAGACUGGGAGGAAAUGUGUUGCGACAGACAGAUGAAUGCAAGUACCUGGGAAUGUGGAUGAGUCCGAAUGGCUGUGUGAAGGCAAAAAAUGAAAAGAUAAACAUGGUGAACCAGUGGGUGUGUCGUCUAGGAAGUGCAGCAAGGAUGAGAGCGAAUAAAUAUGACGUGCUGCGAGAAGUUUGGAAGAGUGUGGCUGUUCCGAGCAUUAUGUAUGGUAUGGAUGUGAUCGUGUGGAAUGAGAAUGAAUUAGAAAAGUUAGAAGCAGGACAGAAUAGAGUAGCAAGGAUAGCACUUAAUGCACCAAGGUAUGCAACGAUAGAGGCCUUGAGUGGGAAUAUGGGUUGGAGUACUUUUAGAGAGAGACAUGCAAAAACAACCUUUAGGAACAAAGCUAGAUUAGAGUGAAUGGAUGAUGCGAGACUAGUGAGAAAGGUGUUUCUGUGGAAUGUUAGGAGCAGGAGGUGGGGGAAGAAGUGUGUUAAGAUUGUAGUAAAGAGUGGUUUGGAAAGUAGUUGGGCUUUUCAACGAUUUGAGGGGAGGCAUGUUGAGAGUGACUGGAGUAUGAUUGUCAGAAAUGGGGAGGGUUUAGAAUGGGAUGUUAGAAAGUGGAAAAAUGGGAUAGACAAGGAGGUGAAGCAUGUGGGAUUGAAUGAAUGGAAGAAUAAGAUGGAACAUAAAACUACUCUGGAGUGGUAUAGAGAGAAAAAGGCUCCAGUGUAUGAAAAGUGGUAUGAGGGAAGCCUGGGCGGUGAUCUGUUCCGAGCGAGGGCACAGUAUAUGGAUGUGAACGCAAGGAGUUACAAAUGGUCUGAGUCCCGCAGCAAAGUGUGCCAGAUGUGUGACAUGGGAGAGGAUGAGACGGUGGAGCAUGUAGUGCUGGAGUGUUAUGAAGUAUGCCAGAGACAGGAAUGAGAUGAUGCAAGUGGUGUUGAGGGAACUGGGACAUACUAGAGUGGAGAAGACAGGAAGGGAAUGGAUGGUAUUGCUGCUAGGACUGUGUGGGGAGACGAAUGAAAGGAUAAUUGAGGUUGUGAAAGAGUUCCUGGAGAAAAUGUGGCGUGCUAGAUGUAGGAACUAGUGGUGUGAUAAGUUAGAAGUGGGCCAGAAUAGAGCAGCAAGGAUGGCACUGAGUCCACCGAGAUACACAGCAGUAGAAGCCUUGAGAGGUGAUAAGGGAUAGAACACCUUUAGGGAAAGACUCACAAAAGCCACACUUAGGUACAGGAUUAGGCUUGAGAGAAUGGAUGAUGCAAGAAUAGUAAGGAAGGUGUACCUAUGGAAUGAAAGUGGUGGAAGCAAAUGGAGGAAGAGGUGCAUGAGAAUGACAGACAGGAAUGGAUUGCAAGUUGUGUGGGCAAUAAGAAUGGUUGGGAGGAAUCAAAAUGAGCGUGAAUGGGUGGUAACAAGAGGAGGCAGAGUGGGAGCCGAAUGGGAUGUGAGAAAAUGGAAGAAUGAGAUAGACAAAGAAGUGAAAUUUGUGGGACUGAAUGGAUGGAAGAAUGAGAUGGAAAGAAAGAAGACCCUGGAAUGGUACAAGGAGAAAGGGGCCCCGAGGUAUGAAAGGUGGUAUGAUGGAAGCCUGGGUGGUGAUCUUCUCUUCUGAGCGAGGGCACGGUUACAGGUGGUCUGAGUCCCGCAGCAAAGUGUGCCAGAUGUGUGACACGGGAGAGGAUGAGACGGUGGUGCUGGAGUGUGUGAAGUAUGUCAGAGACAGGAAUGAGAUGAUGCAAGUGAUACUGACUGAGUUAGGGCAUGAUAGGAAUGAAAGAGUGGAGAAGACAGGAAAGGAAUUGAUGGUGUUGUUGCUGGGACUGUGUAGAGAGGCUAAUGAAAGGAUGAUUGAGGCGGUGAAAGAGUUUCUGGAGAGAAUGUGGCGUGCCAGAUGUAGGAACAAUUAGGAUAGAGGAUGCUGCUCGUUUCCCUUUUUCUCCCCUUCUACAGGAGUUGCCGAUCCAAAGGCCCGACUCAGGAGUGGUCCUGAGCCACCUGUUCCAUAAAGAUCAAGAUUAAGAUCAUGGGAGGAAGGAGGAUUUUUACUUAAAGCCAAAAAAUAUUGACUCUAUUGACUGAUUUCGUCGUUAGACCCGAGGACGAAGUUGUGGCUACGGAGAUUUAAAUGGCCGACAAAUGGUGGCUCUUAUCCUGACUAGUUUGUCCGUUGAGACCGCAGUGACUUUUUACGGCCUAUGCAGGAACCUAACUUAGCAGCAGCUGCAGGAACUACUUCAGAGGCAUUCAUCUAAUGCCACUUCCUGAAAUAGUCACACAACAACCUAUGAUAAUCCUGCCCAAGCCUUGCCUAACUCUCAGGCUGCUCCUGUCCAUCUAGCAACUACUGGUACCAAUGUAACCCAGGGUGCACAUGCACAGGCAAAGGACACUUUUAAAAGGCUGUGGUAGUUCUUGAGAGUAACUACCUCAUUUCACUCUCCACUUUGCACAUGUAAAUGUUAACCCUAUCCAGUAAGGUUAAUUAUAUUUUUGUCAAGUCACAGGAAGAUAGAAAUAUAGCAGGCAGGGAGCUCCAUAGUUUACCAUAGAAAGGGAUGAAUGAUUGAGAAUACUG